rnacentral:rRNA from 1 species
ACACAUGCAAGUCGAGCGGUAGCACAGAGAGCUUGCUCUCGGGUGACGAGCGGCGGACGGGUGAGUAAUGUCUGGGAAACUGCCUGAUGGAGGGGGAUAACUACUGGAAACGGUAGCUAAUACCGCAUAACGUCGCAAGACCAAAGUGGGGGACCUUCGGGCCUCAUGCCAUCAGAUGUGCCCAGAUGGGAUUAGCUGGUAGGUGGGGUAACGGCUCACCUAGGCGACGAUCCCUAGCUGGUCUGAGAGGAUGACCAGCCACACUGGAACUGAGACACGGUCCAGACUCCUACGGGAGGCAGCAGUGGGGAAUAUUGCACAAUGGGCGCAAGCCUGAUGCAGCCAUGCCGCGUGUGUGAAGAAGGCCUUCGGGUUGUAAAGCACUUUCAGCGGGGAGGAAGGCGGUGAGGUUAAUAACCUCAUCGAUUGACGUUACCCGCAGAAGAAGCACCGGCUAACUCCGUGCCAGCAGCCGCGGUAAUACGGAGGGUGCAAGCGUUAAUCGGAAUUACUGGGCGUAAAGCGCACGCAGGCGGUCUGUCAAGUCGGAUGUGAAAUCCCCGGGCUCAACCUGGGAACUGCAUUCGAAACUGGCAGGCUAGAGUCUUGUAGAGGGGGGUAGAAUUCCAGGUGUAGCGGUGAAAUGCGUAGAGAUCUGGAGGAAUACCGGUGGCGAAGGCGGCCCCCUGGACAAAGACUGACGCUCAGGUGCGAAAGCGUGGGGAGCAAACAGGAUUAGAUACCCUGGUAGUCCACGCUGUAAACGAUGUCGAUUUGGAGGUUGUGCCCUUGAGGCGUGGCUUCCGGAGCUAACGCGUUAAAUCGACCGCCUGGGGAGUACGGCCGCAAGGUUAAAACUCAAAUGAAUUGACGGGGGCCCGCACAAGCGGUGGAGCAUGUGGUUUAAUUCGAUGCAACGCGAAGAACCUUACCUGGUCUUGACAUCCACAGAACUUUCCAGAGAUGGAUUGGUGCCUUCGGGAACUGUGAGACAGGUGCUGCAUGGCUGUCGUCAGCUCGUGUUGUGAAAUGUUGGGUUAAGUCCCGCAACGAGCGCAACCCUUAUCCUUUGUUGCCAGCGGUUAGGCCGGGAACUCAAAGGAGACUGCCAGUGAUAAACUGGAGGAAGGUGGGGAUGACGUCAAGUCAUCAUGGCCCUUACGACCAGGGCUACACACGUGCUACAAUGGCAUAUACAAAGAGAAGCGACCUCGCGAGAGCAAGCGGACCUCAUAAAGUAUGUCGUAGUCCGGAUUGGAGUCUGCAACUCGACUCCAUGAAGUCGGAAUCGCUAGUAAUCGUAGAUCAGAAUGCUACGGUGAAUACGUUCCCGGGCCUUGUACACACCGCCCGUCACACCAUGGGAGUGGGUUGCAAAAGAAGUAGGUAGCUUAACCUUCGGGAGGGCGCU